rnacentral:rRNA from 1 species
UGGGGAAUAUUGCGCAAUGGGGGGAACCCUGACGCAGCAACGCCGCGUGAAGGAGGAAGUAUUUCGGUAUGUAAACUUCUAUCAGCAGGGAAGAAGGAAGUGACGGUACCUGCAUAAGAAGCCCCGGCUAAUUACGUGCCAGCAGCCGCGGUAAUACGUAAGGGGCAAGCGUUAUCCGGAUUUACUGGGUGUAAAGGGUGAGUAGGCGGUUCGGCAAGUCAUAUGUGAAAUACCUGGGCUCAACCCAGGAACCGCAUAAGAAACUGUCGGACUUGAGUACAGGAGAGGUAAGCGGAAUUCCCA